UACAGAGGUCUCAAGCGUUGUCCGGAAUUAUUGGGCGUAAAGAGCUUGUAGGCGGUUUGUCGCGUCUGCUGUGAAAAUCCGGGGCUCAACCCCGGACUUGCAGUGGGUACGGGCAGACUGGAGUGUGGUAGGGGAGACUGGAAUUCCUGGUGUAGCGGUGGAAUGCGCAGAUAUCAGGAGGAACACCGAUGGCGAAGGCAGGUCUCUGGGCCACUACUGACGCUGAGAAGCGAAAGCAUGGGGAGCGAACAGG
rnacentral:rRNA from 1 species